CCUCGAUGAAUCUGGCUCGGGCGAAAUAAAACUUCUUCUUCUUACCGAAUAUCCACUUUGACGUUUAAUUUACGCUGCAGGAGUAAGAGGAAUAGCAACAUAUUCGACAUGCGACCGAUUUCGAAUAUUUAGCAUCUCGUUCCAGCCCUUUACUUCGACUUCAUUUCCGAAGCAACUUUUUGCGUGCGGUGGAUUCAAUUUUUUUUCAUUCGUUCUCCGGUACGUUAAUCGUCGGUGCAUUUUAAUUUCAUCGUAAAUUCUGCUCGUUCUUAUUUUGAAGAUCAUCCGGUGAAUAAUAAAAGUGGCUUGCAGCAGUAUUUAACUGCUGAUACGAGUCAAAAUGUCAGGUUUAUUCGCCUAUAUAGGCCUAUAUAAAUCAAUUAAGUUCAGGUUCAGACAAGUGCUGAUGUUGGUGCCCCGCAGGAUCCCAGCUAGUCAAGCAGCUGGUGAUGAAAAUUUGACCAAAGACGCGCAUUUGUUUAUCUUGUCGAGAAUCUGUGGAGAAUCCAUGGACUACUGACACCGGCGCGACAGAGCCGUGAUAGCGUGUGUCGAUGAUUCAAUUGUAAUUUCCUUUUAAGCGAUUACAUUUGUUAUGUGGCUUACACUCUGGCGGACGAUAAGGAUCAACGAGUCACGAAACUGACAAGCAAUGAGUUCAAUGAUGGGUCCAAUCGCUAAGUGCGACGAAGCACUACCGAGAAGGUCAUUAAGGGUACAAUGAAAGCUCCGGAUCAUGAAAAGCUUUUCCCUCGAUUCAAAAUUCUCUGCGCCGGAUGGCUUCAAGACAAGCAAGUAUACAAGGCGGAGCUAGGAACGAUGAAGAAUCGACUAUAGUACCUCAAGAGCAACCGGAAAAAUCAGAAGUUACGGCGGUUCCACACCAUGCUGCUUGUGCAUCGGCAGGCCAUCAACAAUCUUCAACAACUUUGGGAGCGACAUAUAUGGAAUGUCAGUUAAUUUCCGGUCCUGGAUUUGAUGCAUUGCCAUUUACUGAACCACCAGCUAGGAAGGAUGACAGGGUUCACAUCCGAGAUCUCUUCAUUUGGGAACGAAUCAUCACUUCUGACUUCGGUACUAACUUCUGAUUCUAUGGCGUUGUAAUGGUUGGAUUGCAGCAUUCAGCAUUGUUUCUGGUCUAAAAAGUCACAUGAAUUUGGAGGAUCAGAUCGGAGCCUACCUGCAAGAAUAUUCCCGGCAUUCUCCAGAACUUUUAGAUGGCCAAGAAUUCCAACCAGGACGUACACGUAUAGGAGCGCUAUGACCGGCUUCGGA